CUUGCGCCAGACUAUAUAUCGUCGUCCCUGAACCUCCGGCCCCUCAGCUGCUCAGGGAGGUAACGAGUGCAAAUGAAAUUAGUUAUUUAGUUUUUAAAUGCACUUCGCUAUUGUCUCAAAUUACGGCAAGGUGGCGAUUGUAAAGAUUGGAUUUGCUGACAUUUUAGCCCAGAAAAUGGUUGCUGGCCAAUGAUCCUUUAGUCCAUCUAAAUGAAUGGAUGGCUCACGCGUGGAGUACUUAUGACCAUUGGAUGCAUGGUUAGAUGGAAAACGAUACAUACACCAUCUGUAGCCAUUUGAAGGGUGUGGAUGAAACCCUUGUCUCUUGAUAUUCUUUGUCCUGCUUUGUGCUGUCCGUGAGAGAUUUAUCAUCUGUGUGAUAUUCUUGUAAAUUCUUAAGUAGAAUUUUUAAGGGUUGUUAAUCAAUAACAUUUAUCCUCAUUUGUGAGUAGUUUUUUAUUCAUUUCUAGAAUAGCAGAGAGUGAGUUGAGAGGGAGAAAUCUUUUAAACAUUUGGUGUUCUUCUGUGAUCGAUAUUCUUGCCUAUUUUUGGGCUAUGUUAGUGAAUUUGAGCGAAAUUUUAAUGCAUGCUCAACAAGAGAUUGAGCAUUCGAUA